rnacentral:hammerhead_ribozyme from 1 species
AUCCAGCUGACGUGUCCUGAGUAGGACGAGACGCGCGUACUGGAU